GGACGAGUAGCUCAGCUGGUUAGAGCGUCUCUCUUACACAGAGAAGGCCAGAGGUUCGAGUCCUCUCCCGUCCACAA
rnacentral:tRNA from 1 species